rnacentral:rRNA from 1 species
ACGUAGGGUGCGAGCGUUAAUCGGAAUUACUGGGCGUAAAGCGUGCGCAGGCGGUUCUCCAAGUCCGUUGUGAAAGCCCCGGGCUCAACCUGGGAAUGGCCGUUGAAACUGGCGAACUGGAGUGUGGCAGAGGGGGGUGGAAUUCCGCGUGUAGCAGUGAAAUGCGUAGAGAUGCGGAGGAACACCGAUGGCGAAGGCAGCCCCCUGGGCUGACACUGACGCUCAGGCACGAAAGCGUGGGGAGCAAACAGGA